AGAGUUUGAUCCUGGCUCAGAACGAACGCUGGCGGCGUGGAUAAGACAUGCAAGUCGAGCGAGAUUUUUCGUUGUAGCAAUACGAUGGAAAGUCUAGCGGCGAACGGGUGCUUAACACGUGGGCAACCUGCCAUGAAGUGGGGGAUAGCUCGCCGAAAGGCGAAUUAAUACCGCAUGUGAUUAGAGAGGACAUCCUUUCGAAAUUAAAGUCGGGGCAACCUGACGCUUCUUGUGGGGCCCGCGGCCUAUCAGCUAGUUGGUGAGGUAACGGCUCACCAAGGCUUUGACGGGUAGCUGGUCUGAGAGGACGACCAGCCACACUGGGACUGAGACACGGCCCAGACACCUACGGGUGGCAGCAGUCGAGAAUUUUUGACAAUGGGGGAAACCCUGAUCGAGCGACGCCGCGUGGAGGAUGAAGGUCUUCGGAUUGUAAACUCCUGUCAUUUGGGAACAAGGUGCACACGUUAACUGCGUGUGCAUUGAUAGUACCAGAAGAGGAAGAGACGGCUAACUCUGUGCCAGCAGCCGCGGUAAUACAGAGGUCUCAAGCGUUGUUCGGAUUCAUUGGGCGUAAAGGGUGCGUAGGCGGCGCGGUAAGUCGGGUGUGAAAUCUCGGAGCUUAACUCCGAAACUGCAUUCGAUACUGCCGUGCUUGAGGACUGGAGAGGAGACUGGAAUUUACGGUGUAGCGGUGAAAUGCGUAGAUAUCGUAAGGAAGACCAGUGGCGAAGGCGGGUCUCUGGACAGUUCCUGACGCUGAGGCACGAAGGCCAGGGGAGCAAACGGGAUUAGAUACCCCGGUAGUCC
rnacentral:rRNA from 1 species